rnacentral:rRNA from 1 species
AUUGAACGCUGGCGGCAGGCUUAACACAUGCAAGUCGAGCGGGGUGAUGGUGCUUGCACUAUCACUUAGCGGCGGACGGGUGAGUAAUGCUUAGGAAUCUGCCUAUUAGUGGGGGACAACAUCUCGAAAGGGAUGCUAAUACCGCAUACGUCCUACGGGAGAAAGCAGGGGAUCACUUGUGACCUUGCGCUAAUAGAUGAGCCUAAGUCGGAUUAGCUAGUUGGUGGGGUAAAGGCCUACCAAGGCGACGAUCUGUAGCGGGUCUGAGAGGAUGAUCCGCCACACUGGGACUGAGACACGGCCCAGAAUCCUACGGGAGGCAGCAGUGGGGAAUAUUGGACAAUGGGGGGAACCCUGACCCAGUCAUGCCGCGUGUGUGAAGAGGGCCUUAUGGUUGUAAAGCACUUUAAGCGAGGAGGAGGCUCUUUUGGUUAAUACCCAAGAUGAGUGGACGUUACUCGCAGAAUAAGCACCGGCUAACUCUGUGCCAGCAGCCGCCGCGG